rnacentral:rRNA from 1 species
GAGUUUGAUCCUGGCUCAGAUUGAACGCUGGCGGCAUGCCUUACACAUGCAAGUCGAACGGCAGCAUGAUCUAGCUUGCUAGAUUGAUGGCGAGUGGCGAACGGGUGAGUAAUACAUCGGAACGUGCCCUGUAGUGGGGAUAACUAGUCGAAAGAUUAGCUAAUACCGCAUACGACCUGAGGGUGAAAGUGGGGGACCGCAAGGCCUCAUGCUAUAGGAGCGGCCGAUGUCUGAUUAGCUAGUUGGUGGGGUAAAGGCCCACCAAGGCGACGAUCAGUAGCUGGUCUGAGAGGACGAUCAGCCACACUGGGACUGAGACACGGCCCAGACUCCUACGGGAGGCAGCAGUGGGGAAUUUUGGACAAUGGGCGAAAGCCUGAUCCAGCAAUGUCGCGUGUGUGAAGAAGGCCUCGGUUGU